UACGAAGGUCCCAAGCGUUAUCCGGAUUUAUUGGGUUUAAAGGGUGCGUAGGCGGCUUAAUAAGUCAUUGGUGAAAGCUCGCAGCUCAACUGCGAAACUGCCAUUGAAACUGUUUAGCUUGAAUGUGGUUGAAGUGGGCGGAAUACAACAUGUAGCGGUGAAAUGCUUAGAUAUGUUUUAGAACACCGAUUGCGAAGGCAGCUCACUAAGCCAAUAUUGACGCUGAGGCACGAAGGCGUGGGUAGCAAACAGG
rnacentral:rRNA from 1 species